AUUGAACGCUGGCGGCAGGCUUAACACAUGCAAGUCGAGCGGAGAUGAGGUGCUUGCACCUUAUCUUAGCGGCGGACGGGUGAGUAAUGCUUAGGAAUCUGCCUAUUAGUGGGGGACAACAUUCCGAAAGGAAUGCUAAUACCGCAUACGUCCUACGGGAGAAAGCAGGGGAUCUUCGGACCUUGCGCUAAUAGAUGAGCCUAAGUCGGAUUAGCUAGUUGGUGGGGUAAAGGCCUACCAAGGCGACGAUCUGUAGCGGGUCUGAGAGGAUGAUCCGCCACACUGGGACUGAGACACGGCCCAGAGUCCUGCGGGAGGCAGCAGUGGGGAAUAUUGGACAAUGGGGGAACCCUGAUCCAGCCAUGCCGCGUGUGUGAAGAAGGCCUUAUGGUUGUAAAGCACUUUAAGCGAGGAGGAGGCUACUGAGACUAAUACUCUUGGAUAGUGGACGUUACUCGCAGAAUAAGCACCGGCUAACUCUGUGCCAGCCGCCGCCGUAACAC
rnacentral:rRNA from 1 species